UACGUAGGGUGCGAGCGUUAAUCGGAAUUACUGGGCGUAAAGGGUGCGCAGGCGGUUCUGUAAGUCAGAUGUGAAAUCCCCGGGCUUAACCUGGGAACUGCGUUUGAAACUACAGAGCUAGAGUGUGGCAGAGGGGGGUGGAAUUCCAUGUGUAGCAGUGAAAUGCGUAGAGAUAUGGAGGAACAUCGAUGGCGAAGGCAGCCCCCUGGGUUAACACUGACGCUCAUGCACGAAAGCGUGGGGAGCAAAC
rnacentral:rRNA from 1 species